ncrna:unclassified sequences DTF3800-I RNA
UGGUGGUACAGACGUAAGUACUGUUGCACAGCCACAAGCGAUCAAACUGAUUAAGCGUAUUGUAAAUACGUCGCCUGGUUGGGAUAACCCUUCUGAAUCAGAAGGGUUAUUUUUGCACCA